rnacentral:ncRNA from 1 species
UGAUCUCGUCUCAGUCAUGAUCAUCUGCUGAAUUUGAAUCUAAGCAUAUAACUAAGCGAAGGGAAAAAAAACGAAGAUUUCCUUAGUAACGGCGAGUGAAAAAAAAAGCUCAGUGCUGAAUCCGAUAUUUGACUAUAUGGAAAUUUAGCGUAUAGGUGUAACUAUCCGUACUUUUAACAUUUUUACACCCAAAUUCUCCUUGAUAGGAGGUACAGUCCAUAGAAGGGCUAUACCUGUACAGGUGAGAAAAGUUACGGCAUGGAAUCGGGUGUUUAAGAUUGUAGCCCAGAGAGGGUGGUAAACCUCAUCUAAAGCUAAAUACGACCACGAGACCGAUAGCAAACAAGUACUAUAAGGGGAAGUUGCAAAGAACUUUGGAGAGUUCAAGAGGACGAUGGAUAUGAGAUGGAAACGGAUAGAAUUAACGAAACUUAUUGAUACUCAACCAAUCAAUUUAGCAAUCUUAAUUGAUUUAUUAUUCAUUAU